rnacentral:rRNA from 1 species
UACGGAGGGAGCUAGCGUUGUUCGGAAUUACUGGGCGUAAAGCGCACGUAGGCGGCUUUGUAAGUUAGAGGUGAAAGCCUGGAGCUCAACCUCAGAAUUGCCUUUAAGACUGCAUCGCUCGAAUCCGGGAGAGGUGAGUGGAAUUCCGGGUGUAGAGGUGAAAUUCGUAGAUAUCCGGAAGAACACCAGUGGCGAAGGCGGGUCACUGGACAGGUAUUGACGCUGAGGUGCGAAGGCGAGGGGAGCAAACAGG